rnacentral:snoRNA from 1 species
AAGCAACACUCUGUGGCAGAUAAUCAAAACUGUCUGACACAAUUUACACUUGCUAUAUCAAGAAAGUCUAACCUGGACUGGAGAGAU